rnacentral:rRNA from 1 species
AAGUCGUAACAAGGUUUCCGUAGGUGAACCUGCGGAAGGAUCAUUACAGAGUUUGGCGCCCUCUGGGCGUCCACUCCCACCAUUUGUGUACCUUCAAACCGUUGCCUCAGGGGGCCAGGCUACCCGCCCUCUGGCUCUGCUGGGGAGAGCCCCCUAGAGGACCAUUCAAACCCGUUCAUCAGUGGCAUCUGAGUACCUUUUAAAUAAAGAAAACUUUCAACAACGGAUCUCUUGGUUCUGGCAUCGAUGAAGAACGCAGCAAAAUGCGAUAAGUAAUGUGAAUUGCAGAAUUCAGUGAAUCAUCGAAUCUUUGAACGCACAUUGCGCCCCUUGGUAUUCCGGGGGGCAUGCCUGUUCGAGCGUCAUUUAAACCCUCAAGCCCAGCUUGGUAUUAGGUGGAUGGCCCCUAGGGGCCCACCUGCAACUCAUCGGCGGUACCCAGAGGACCUAAGCGUAGCAAGAAUCUUCCCUCGCUUCAGGACCCCUCGCGGUGCCCGCCGGACGACGACCCUUCUCGUUUGACCUCGGAUCAGGUAGGGAUACCCGCUGAACUUAA